GACGAACGCUGGCGGCGUGCUUAACACAUGCAAGUCGAACGGAAAGGCCCUGCUUUUGUGGGGUGCUCGAGUGGCGAACGGGUGAGUAACACGUGAGUAACCUGCCCUUGACUUUGGGAUAACUUCAGGAAACUGGGGCUAAUACCGGAUAGGAGCUCCUGCUGCAUGGUGGGGGUUGGAAAGUUUCGGCGGUGGGGGAUGGACUCGCGGCUUAUCAGCUUGUUGGUGGGGUAGUGGCUUACCAAGGCUUUGACGGGUAGCCGGCCUGAGAGGGUGACCGGCAACAUUGGGACUGAGAUACGGCCCAGACUCCUACGGGAGGCAGCGGUGGGGAAUAUUGCACAAUGGGCGGAAGCCGGAUGCAGCAACGCCGCGGGCGGGAUGCCGGCCUUCGGGUGGUAAACCGCUUUCGCCUGUGACGAAGCGUGAGUGACGGUAAUGGGUAAAGAAGCACCGGCUAACUACGUG
rnacentral:rRNA from 1 species